GGAACAGUGAUAGUGACGGCGACGACGAUCCCUUCAACCGUGGGAGGGGUGAAGUAGGCGUGCAUUAGUGAGAGAGAAAGAGGAAGGGAGGGAAGGAGGCAACGGUGUAUAGAAAAAGAUGAGAGAUAAAAAAUUGAUGAAUUAAUUGGGAAUAAGAAAGUGAAGAUUUUAGAUGGCACAGGCUGUAUAGAUGCAUUAAUUGAAAGUCUGGUGGGGGGAAGGAAAAGAAUUAUGAUGAAUAAUUGGAGAUAGAAAGAAUAGGAUUGUAAAUAAUAAUGGGACCAUUUAAAUGUACUAAUUGAAAGUUUCAUAGUGGAAUUGUUUAGAUGUAUAUUAAAAGUUUGAUGAAUGGGAAGGGAAGGGUCACAGCUAAUAAGGGUGAAGGAAAACUUGCCACAUGACAAAAAAUAUUAGGGAUUCAUAUAAAAUAAAAUUAAGGGUAAACUUCAAAUACCCUCCCGUGGCUUCACACUUUCUCACUUUAGUAUUCUGUGUUUUAAAGUGUAUCAAGUUAUAGCCCCCGUGGUUUCGCACUUUCUCACUUUAGUACCCUAUGGUUUAAAGUGUAUCAAGUUAGUACCAUGUGUUUUCAUUUUUCUCUUUUUAUUAUCUAUUUCAUUAAUUUUUUUCGUUAAAUCAGUGAUAAAGUUAAAACUAAAGGGUAUUAAAUUGAAUAUUCGAUAAGCCUAAGUAGGGUAUCUGAAGUUUUUUGUAUAUAAUUUAACAAAAUAUUAACGGAUGAAAAAAAAAAAUAUCAGUAACAAAGUUAAAGCUAAAGGGUACUAAAAUAAAUAUUCGAUAAAUCUAGGUAGGGUAUCUGAAAUUUUUUGUAUAUAAUUUAACGAAAUAUUAACAAAGGAGCCGACGAAAAGAGAAAAAUGAAACCACAGAGUACUAAAUUGAUGUACUUUAAACCAUAGAGUAUUAAGGUGAGAAAGGGCGAAACCACAGGAUACUAAAUUGAUACACUUUAAACCACAGGGUACUAAAGUGAAAAAGUGCGAAACUAUAGGGGUGGUAUUUGAAGUUUUCCCUAAAAUUAAUUGGAGAUAAGAAAGUGAGGAUUGUAGAUGGUAGCAAAUUGUAUGGAUGCAUUAAUUGAAAGUCUGGUAGAGGAAAGGAAAAAGAUCAUGAUGAAUAAUUGGAGAUAGAGAUGUUAGCAUUGUAGAUAAUAAUGAGACCAUUUAAAUGUACUAAAUUGAAGAUUUGGUAGUGAUACUGUUUAGAUGUAUAUUGAAAGUUUGGUGAAUGAACGAAGAAGGAUCACACGCUAGUGAUGGUAAAGAAGAACUUGACAAUGAAUGAAAGGAGAAGGAUCACACGCUAGUGAGGGUAAAGAAGAACUUGACACAUAGUACAAAAUAUUGGGGAUUUAUAUAAGUUAAUUGAUUCCAUUUAAUGCUUCCAACUUAUCUUAAUACUUAUAA
rnacentral:lncRNA from 1 species